rnacentral:rRNA from 1 species
UACGGAGGUUCCUAGCGUUGUUCGGAAUUACUGGGCGUAAAGGGAGCGCAGGCGGACCGAUAAGUCUAAAGUGGAAUCCCGGGGCUCAACCUCGGACGUGCUUUGGAUACUGCCGGUCUUGAGUUCGUGAGAGGAAAGCGGAAUUCAGGGUGUAGCGGUGAAAUGCUUAGAUAUCCUGAGGAACACCAGUGGCGAAAGCGGCUUUCUGGCACGAAACUGACGCUGAGGCUCGAAAGCGUGGGUAGCGAACGGG